GUAAUGGUGUCUUUAGACACCACCUCUUCUAUCUUCAAAAUUUAAU
rfam:Picea glauca, whole genome shotgun sequence.